GGUGAGCGCUGGCGGCGUGCUUAAGACAUGCAAGUCGAACGGCAGUCUUCGGACUGUAGUGGCGCACGGGUGAGUAACGCGUAACUGACCUACCCCAAAGUCGCGGAUAACGAUUCGAAAGAAUCGCUAAUACGUGAUGUGCUGUUAGAUUGUGUUCUGCCAGUCAGGAUUGAUUGCUUUGGGAGGGGGUUGCGUUCCAUCAGCUAGUUGGUGGGGUAAAGGCCCACCAAGGCGACGACGGAUAGCCGGCCUGGGAGGGUGGCCGGCCACAGGGGCACUGAGACACGGGUGCAACUCCUACGGGAGGCAGCAGUUAGGAAUCUUCCACAAUGGGCGAAAGCCUGAUGGAGCGACGCCGCGUGAGGGAUGAAGGUCUUCGGAUCGUAAACCUCUGAAUCAGGGACGAAAGACACGUUAUGUGGGAUGACGGUACCUGAGUAAUAGCACCGGCUAACUCCGUGCCAGCCGCCGCUGUAAUAC
rnacentral:rRNA from 1 species